GCUCAGUUGGUUAAGCGUCCAACUCUUGAUUUCAACUCAGGUCAUGAUCAGGUCAUGGGUACAAGCCCCAUGUUGGGCU
rnacentral:tRNA from 1 species